rnacentral:lncRNA from 1 species
GACCUUUAUCCUCUGUGCCAUACAAAAGUCGCUUUCUGUUGGUCUGGGAGCCUAUGUGACCUUCAGCAGACCUCCUGGGGAGGGAACGACUGUGACCCAGCCACUCUGGCCAACAUGGGAUGACCUGCAGGUAAAAUGAGUUGGACAAAGCAUAAUGGAGGAGAAAAUCUGGGAGAUGCAGUUCAGGAAAGAUGUUGGCCAAAUGGGUGUCCAGAGAAGGC